AUACGUAGGGAGCGAGCGUUGUCCGGAUUUACUGGGUGUAAAGGGUGCGUAGGCGGCUGAGCAAGUCAGGUGUGAAAACCAUCGGCUUAACUGAUGGAUGGCACUUGAAACUGCGCAGCUUGAGUGAAGCAGAGGCAGGCGGAAUUCCCGGUGUAGCGGUGAAAUGCGUAGAGAUCGGGAGGAACACCAGUGGCGAAGGCGGCCUGCUGGGCUUUAACUGACGCUGAGGCACGAAAGCAUGGGUAGCAAACAGGAUUAGAUACCCUGGUAGUCCAUGCCGUAAACGAUGAUUACUAGGUGUGGGUGGUCUGACCCCAUCCGUGCCGGAGUUAACACGAUAAGUAAUCCACCUGGGGAGUACGACCGCAAGGUUGAA
rnacentral:rRNA from 1 species